rnacentral:rRNA from 1 species
UACGUAGGGUGCGAGCGUUAAUCGGAAUUACUGGGCGUAAAGGGUGCGCAGGCGGCGUCGCAAGUCAGGCGUGAAAUCCCCGGGCUUAACCUGGGAACUGCACUUGAAACUACGAUGCUGGAGUAUGGCAGAGGGAGGUGGAAUUCCACGUGUAGCGGUGAAAUGCGUAGAGAUGUGGAGGAACACCGAUGGCGAAGGCAGCCUCCUUGGCCAAUACUGACGCUCAUGCACGAAAGCGUGGGGAGCAAACAGG